AACGAACGCUGGCGGCGUGGCUAAGACAUGCAAGUCGUACGGACCGCGGUAGCAAUAUUGCGGUUAGUGGCGAAAGGGUGAGUAAUGCAUGGGUAACGUACCCUGAACUCGGGGAUAACAGCGGGAGCAAUCCCUUUAGCGAAAGUGCUGCUAAUACCCGAUGAAGUCGCCGGGUCGCAUGACCGGGCGACCAAAGGUGGGGACCGCAAGGCCUGCCGGUUUGGGAGCGGCCCAUGUCCUAUCAGCUAGUUGGUGAGGUAACGGCUUACCAAGGCUAUGACGGGUAGCCGGACUGAGAGGUCGAUCGGCCACAUCGGGACUGAGACACUGCCCGGACACCUACGGGUGGCUGCAGUAACGAAUAUUGGGCAAUGGGCGCAAGCCUGACCCAGCGACGCCGCGUGCAGGAGGAAGUCCUUCGGGAUGUAAACUGCUGUCAGGGGCUAGCAAGCAAAGGGUGUUAACAGCAUCCGGCGUUGAGCCGCCCCAGAGGAAGCCUCGACUAACUCUGUGCCAGCAGUCGCGGUAAGACAGAGGAGGCAAGCGUUGUUCGGAAUCACUGGGCUUAAAGCGCGUGUAGGCGGCGGCGCAAGUGUCGUGUGAAAUCCCACGGCUCAACCGUGGAACUGCACGGCAAACUACGUCGCUUGAGGUUGGUAGAGGUGCCUGGAACUCUCGGUGGAGCGGUGAAAUGCGUUGAUAUCGAGAGGAACGCCGGAAGCGAAAGCGAGGCACUGGGCCGAUUCUGACGCUGAGACGCGAAAGCGUGGGGAGCAAACAGGAUUAGAUACCCUGGUAGUCCACGCUGUAAACGAUGCACACUAGACGUCGGAGCCUCUGACGGUGCCGGCGUCGUAGCGAAAGUACUAAGUGUGCCGCCUGGGGAGUACGGCCGCAAGGCUA
rnacentral:rRNA from 1 species